rnacentral:rRNA from 1 species
UACGUAGGUCCCGAGCGUUGUCCGGAUUUAUUGGGCGUAAAGCGAGCGCAGGUGGUUUAUUAAGUUUGGUGUAAAUGGCAGUGGCUCAACCAUUGUAUGCAUUGGAAACUGGUAGACUUGAGUGCAGGAGAGGAGAGUGGAAUUCCAUGUGUAGCGGUGAAAUGCGUAGAUAUAUGGAGGAACACCGGUGGCGAAAGCGGCUCUCUGGCCUGUAACUGACACUGAGGCUCGAAAGCGUGGGGAGCAAACAGG